CUUGAGCCCAGGAGUGGAUCAAGAGGAAGAUGUGGAUGGUGCUUCUGCAAGGCACGGCCUAUGUUAUUCACUAGAAGGUGAGCUCAAUUCUAGAAGAUGUUUCUUCAGUGUGCCCAGCUCCUGGAAAAGUGGACUCAAGAGAGGUUCUGGUGACAAAAAACCUCCACAAGAAACUACAGUUUCAAUCCACAGUGGGUUGCGCCUGCAAAGAAAUUUUUACAACACCAACCAUUCCUAAGGACCAUCUAUUCCUUCCUUAAUUAAAAGUAUAUAGUUAAAAAUACUUAGAGAAACAGCUUAGAAUAGUCUUUAGAGUCAGACAGACUGAAAAUGUCUGUAUUCAUGUGAACCUGGAAGUGUCAUUGGCCCUCUCUGAGCCUUGGAUGCAUCUGUAGGAUGAGGAAUGUAGUACCUACCUCGCUGGGUUAUUUUGAGAAAGAAAUAAAAAUAUCCUUGCACACA